rnacentral:rRNA from 1 species
UACGGAGGGAGCAAGCGUUACUCGGAAUUAUUGGGCGUAAAGGGCGCGUAGGCGAUCUGACAAGUCUGGUGUGAAAGCCCACAUGUUAACUGUGGAAGUGCAUUAGAAACUGUUGGAUUUGAGUUCAGGAGAGGAAGGCAGAAUUCCCGGUGUAGCGGUGAAAUGCGUAGAGAUCGGGAGGAAUACCAGUGGCGAAGGCGGGUCUCUGGGACGGUACUGACGCUGAGACGCGAAAGCGUGGGGAGCGAACAGG